rnacentral:snRNA from 1 species
GUAAAGGUAUUCUGGCUGUGACAUCUGUCACUAUUAAUCACUGGGGUUGAUUUGGCUGAUCUGGCUGGCUAGGUGGGUGUCCCUACCUCCCUACUGAAGCUAUACACUUGGUAGGUGAAGAGGACAGCCUUUCCCAGUGUAGGAGGAUGACCUUUCGCCAUAGAGGAAGACUGUCCCUGGUCAAAGGUAGCUGCACUCCCCUGAUAGAACCUCCAGACAAGCUCUCAAAGGUGUAAAAACCGCUGUGCAAAUGAUUGUGUAAUGAAGCUAAGGUCUCUUGUUAGUAUACACGUGGGAACUGGGAAAGUGCCCUGCUGUCUUCGUUU